rnacentral:lncRNA from 1 species
AUUGUCGGGUAUCUCAAAAAUUUAGAACUUCAGCCUAGUAGUUUUUUUAUUUAAGAUAGUUUUGUUUGAAAUUCUAAAGUUUUGAGAUACUAACAAUAUAUCUAAUAUUUUUUGCGCCCUAAUGGCUUGACGGAAAGUGAAUAUUUAGUUUUAUUAAUUAUAUUUAACUGUUGACGUUUGACGGAACAAAAAGGGCUUCGUCAACGGAAAUGUUUUUUUUUAUAAUUUAUUCAAAAAAUAACCUUUUGGUUUUGAUAUAUGCAAUCACAUUAUAUAUUAAUGAUUUCGAUAAUUAAAUUGGCUUUAUAUCUACUGAAAUAGUCUACCUAAAAUUUCCAUUAAAAAAUUGUACAUUUUUCAUCUUAAUUUUUUCAUGUAUAACGGAUUACAAAUUAAAUGAAAAUAAAAAUAUCACUUUUAUGUGUAUCUCAAAAUAAGCUUUAAGUUUACGCAGCUUACUUCU